rnacentral:lncRNA from 1 species
UUAACCAAAAAGUCCCCAGCACCACCACAACACAUUAUACACAGGUAGGCUACCUCGAUUCACAUAUGAAUCUACCGCCAAUUUGGAUAUCGCAAUGAGUCGGUUACGAUAUAUUUUCUGCGGUUCAACCGGAGAACGCAGAAGCAUAUCCCUGUAUAAUUUUUUCUCAACUUCAUUCUAUUUAUUUUAGAUAGACCUCAAUACCAAACUAAGCCUGACGCUAUUAGAUAGAAUGACGUUGAUGUGUUCUCCAAUACGACUACAUAAAAUAUAUUAUAACGGACUGAUCACAGAAUAUAAUAUUACGUACGGAAACAAACAUGAUAUUUUUCUAUCGUCGUUUCUCACCUCCCGUAACGCAAUCUUCUUGUAAAAAUGAAGUCUUAGUUAAUAUCCAAACGGUCAAGUAUCUAAAUUUUAUAAUAAAAUAGACAUUAAAUAAUUAAAAUUAAAAUAAUUAAAAAAUUAGUAAUAAAAUUAAAAUUUUAAAUUUUAGAUAACCAAAUCAAAAUAAUUUAUAAUUUAAAAAAACUUAGAUACCUUCCUAUUCUUUAUUGUUUUCNUCUUGUAAAAAUGAAGUCUUAGUUAAUAUCCAAACGGUCAAGUAUCUAAAUUUUAUAAUAAAAUAGACAUUAAAUAAUUAAAAUUAAAAUAAUUAUUAUCUUUGUAGAAAAUUAAAAUAAUUAAAAAAUUAGUAAUAAAAUUAAAAUUUUAAAUUUUAGAUAACCAAAUCAAAAUAAUUUAUAAUUUAAAAAAACUUAGAUACCUUCCUAUUCUUUAUUGUUUUCUACUUU